rnacentral:rRNA from 1 species
AUGGCACCACUGAGGGGGGCCAAGCGCCGGAAGCGGCACCCCGAGAAGGCCCUGCCGGCGGGGGUGAUGGCGCCCUUGCCCCCGCCCGACGCCGCCGAUUGGUGGGACUCCUUCUCCCGCAGGCUUGCAGCAGGACACUACUCCAAAGACUGCCAGAACUUUGAGUCAGUCUUCAAGAUGUCGAGGAAGACAUUCGACUACAUUUGCACUCUGAUUACCGGGGACUUCUCAAGAAAGACACAGGGUUUCAGAAAUUUCAGGUUUGGAGACAAGAUGAUUCUUGCGUUGGAGGAUCAAGUAGCUGUUGCUCUGUUGAGACUGACGACUGGUGAGUCACUUCUGAGCAUAGGGAAUCGCUUUGGAAUGAACCACUCAGCAAUCUCAAACAUCACUUGGAAGUUCAUUGAGUCCUUGGAGGAUCACGCAAUCAGUCAUCUGAAGUGGCCUGACCCUGAGGAGAUGGCGACCAUCAAAGCAAAGUUCGAAAAGCUCCAGGGCCUCCCCAACUGCUGCGGCGCCAUAGACACAACACACAUCCUCAUGUGCUCUUCAGCUCAGCCUAACAGCAAUGUCUGGCUUGACUGUGAGAACAGGAACAGCAUGGUCCUGCAGGCCGUUGUCGACCCCGACAUGCGGUUCAGAGACGUUGUCAGUGGCUGGCCUGGGAGCAUGGAUGACUCCUGCAUCCUGCGCACCUCGGGCUUCUACAAGCUGUGCGAGAAAGGCGGGAGGCUGGACGGACAAAUGGAGCUUCCUGGGGAGCCAGCAGGGUCAGUGGUCAGAGAGUACAUCAUCGGGGACACGGGCUACCCUCUCCUUCCCUGGCUGAUGACUCCAUACCAAGAGCGCGAUCUGUCUCCAGCAAAAGCAGCAUUCAACAAGCAGCACGCCACGGCGAGAAUGGUGGUGCAGGGUGCUAUGGCCAGGCUGAAGGAAAGGUGGCAGGUACUCAAGGGGGAGCUGUGGAGGCCUGACAAGCACCGGCUACCGAGGAUCAUCUACGCCUGCUGCCUGCUCACCAACAUCAUGAUCGACCUCGGGGACACACACAGAGAACGGGCACCGGCGUCGCACGACCAUGAUGACGGUUACUAUCAGCAGUUCAGCAAUGUGGCCGACGACGGUGCGGUUGCACAGAGGGACGUGCUUUGCCAGUAUGUCAGCAGGCUAGGCGGCAAAUUGCCGGAGUGA